ACGGAGGGUGCAAGCGUUGUCCGGAAUCAUUGGGCGUAAAGCGUUCGUAGGCGGCAUAUCAAGUCUGGUGUUAAAGCCCGGAGCUCAACUCCGGAUCGGCACUGGAUACUGGUAAGCUAGAAUGAGGUAGAGGUAAUGGGAAUUCCUGGUGUGGCGGUGAAAUGCGUAGAUAUCAGGAGGAACACCGAUGGCGUGAGCGCAUUACUGGGCCUUUAUCGACGCUGAGGAAGCAAAGCCGGGAGAGCAAGUGG
rnacentral:rRNA from 1 species